rnacentral:rRNA from 1 species
UGCGCAGCUACCAUGCAAGUCGAGCGGAUGAAGGGAGCUUGCUCCCUGAUUUAGCGGCGGACGGGUGAGUAAUGCCUAGGAAUCUGCCUGGUAGUGGGGGAUAACGUUCCGAAAGGAACGCUAAUACCGCAUACGUCCUACGGGAGAAAGCAGGGGACCUUCGGGCCUUGCGCUAUCAGAUGAGCCUAGGUCGGAUUAGCUAGUUGGUGAGGUAAUGGCUCACCAAGGCGACGAUCCGUAACUGGUCUGGGAGGAUGAUCAGUCACACUGGAACUGAGACACGGUCCAGACUCCUACGGGAGGCAGCAGUGGGGAAUAUUGGACAAUGGGCGAAAGCCUGAUCCAGCCAUGCCGCGUGUGUGAAGAAGGUCUUCGGAUUGUAAAGCACUUUAAGUUGGGAGGAAGGGCAGUAAGCUAAUACCUUGCUGUUUUGACGUUACCGACAGAAUAAGCACCGGCUAACUUCGUGCCAGCAGCCGCGGUAAUACGAAGGGUGCAAGCGUUAAUCGGAAUUACUGGGCGUAAAGCGCGCGUAGGUGGUUCGUUAAGUUGGAUGUGAAAGCCCCGGGCUCAACCUGGGAACUGCAUCCAAAACUGGCGAGCUAGAGUACGGUAGAGGGUGGUGGAAUUUCCUGUGUAGCGGUGAAAUGCGUAGAUAUAGGAAGGAACACCAGUGGCGAAGGCGACCACCCUGGACUGAUACUGACACUGAGGUGCGAAA